rnacentral:lncRNA from 1 species
CAGAGCUCCCGUUGCCAAGCGUGUCGAUGUGGCGGGAGGGGUUACUUUCUCGGGCUGUGCCACUCACUAUAUCGCCAGCGUUGUAGCUAGGGACUGGGACACAUGGAGACAUGGUUUAUACGUACCAAAAGCUCGAAGUUAUGGGUGCAAGCACUGGAUCUUUGUUUUUUUCUUUCAUUUAUGUCCUUAAAAUUUGAUGAUCACCGUGUUUUUUCGCAAAUGAUUGCAUGGCUCCUUUUGAACAGAACCUGUGUUUCAAGUCCUAUCUAUGUGGUGACGUGCCAAAGAAAGGUUGUUUGUGUGGCUUUAGUGAACGGGCAAAGAAGAUAGAAUUUGUACAACAAUGGUACUCCAUCCGUUCCGAAUUACUUGUCUUGGAUUUGUCUAGAUACGGAUGUAUCUAGACACCUCCGUAUCUAAACAAAUCUAAGACAAGUAAUUCGGAACGGAGGGAGUAGAUGUAGAAGCNNNNNNNNNNNNNNNNNNNNNNNNNNNNNNNNNNNNNNNNNNNNNNNNNNNNNNNNNNNNNNNNNNNNNNNNNNNNNNNNNNNNNNNNNNNNNNNNNNNNNNNNNNNNNNNNNNNNNNNNNNNNNNNNNNNNNNNNNNNNNNNNNNNNNNNNNNNNNNNNNNNNNNNNNNNNNNNNNNNNNNNNNNNNNNNNNNNNNNNNNNNNNNNNNNNNNNNNNNNNNNNNNNNNNNNNNNNNNNNNNNNNNNNNNNNNNNNNNNNNNNNNNNNNNNNNNNNNNNNNNNNNNNNNNNNNNNNNNNNNNNNNNAUCAGUUAAUGUGCAUUUAAUUAAUUGGCGCCGAAGGUGCUCCAACUUGGCCGGCCCAUCUAAGGGUGCAAUGAGAGAGAGCUCUUCCAGGUUUUAGGAAGCUUUCUAGCUUUUUUUUUUCAUUUUUCGAUUUGGUUAUUUCUGGUUUGUUUGGUUUAUUUCAUUUAUUUUUCUUUACCUUUUUUUUUCUAGGUUCCUUUUCCUUUCUUUUAUUUUUAUUUUUUAAAUGCACAAUACAUCGGAAGAUAUAAUUUUUUAUAAGAUAUUUGAAAUCACUCCCAUAUUAUGUAGACACUUUAAUGUACUCCAUACACGUUCCGUAGAAACAUGUUGGAUACUGGAACUCGAAUCCACAGAGGUUACUCGAUUCACAUCCGUUUUAGCAUUCCAGAACUGCUCGUGGAAAACAGAAACAAAAGAUAACUUAAAAGAAAAGGAAAAUUAAAGUAUUAAAUAUUACGAUAAAACAUUCAUUAAAUUAAAAAAAUAUUCAUAAAAUUGGAAAAAGUUCCUGGAGUUAGUAAAAGUUCACAAGUUACAAAAAUAAGUCAUACAUUUUUAACUAUUACGAAUACAAAAAUAGCUUUAAAAUUUGAUGAUUUUUUUCUGAGUGAUCAACUUUUUUUCAAAUAAUGAACUUUUUCCAAAUUUGAAAAACUUUUUUUCAGAAACGAUGAUUUUUUUCAAAAUUGGCAAACUUUUUCGAAUUUUGACAAUUUUUCUUUCAAAAUUGAUGAACUUUUGUUUUUAAAUGGAUGAACUUUUUUCAUAUUUACAAACUUUUCCCAAAUUGGACAUUUCUUUUCUGAAUUUGUGGACUUUUGAAUUUCAUGAUCUUUUUUUGAAUCUAUGAACCUUUUCGAUUUCACGAUAUUUUUUCAAUUUCGUGAACCUGUUUGAAUAAGUCAACUAGCCAAAUGGUGCGUGUCAUCUGGUGAACAAGUUGACUGCAUGGAACCUGUUCAAAAUGACCGAGUGAACGGGGACGACUACGUGAACGAAUGUGCAUGACUGAGUGAUCAAGGCAAGAAAGCUGGUGUUGUUUAGGCCGGCCUAGACGAUCUGCCACAUGAGCGCCAAUUGGGCAAACGGGCGCCUAAGGCGCUGACUAGGGCUCUCCCUCGGUGAAUGUUUCCCCCGUUCACCAGUGGGCAGGGCCAUGGUGACCCCCAGUUGGCCCAAAGCCCCACUAAAUAGUUUUUUUGAGAAAAAUACAAUGACAGAAAAAAAAAUGCCAUAAUAGUUGCCAUGCUCCUAGUCAUCACCUAAAAAAAUUGUGUGCACAAAGGUGGCAGUCAAAAAAAUGCCACCUCUCAAUAUUAAAAAUGUCUCACCUCUUCAAAUAAUAAACAUGCUCAUCCUAUUGUUAAAAAACAUGACAUGCUCUUAUAAUAAAAUUGCCAUUCUCUGCCAUCCUUUUAUAAUUAAAAAAUACCAUCCUGUUAUCUUACAAGUAAAAAAUGGCAUCCUCAUAUAAUAAAAAUGUCCUAUCUUAAAUAAUACAAAUGCCAUCCGCACAAUAAAAAAUGCCAUCCUAUUAUAAAAAAUGGCGUGCUCUUGUAAAAUAAAACUGUCAUCCUCUUAUAAUAAAAAAAAAUACCAUCCUCUUAUUAUAAAAAAAUACCAUCCUCUUAAAAAAGAAAAAUGAAAUCCACUUAUAAUAAAACCGCCCUGUGAGAAUGUAUAAGAGAAAUUGGGAUUUUAGGUCGAUCACCAUCCUCGCGCGCCUCCGGCCAUCCGACAUAGCUUUCCCCUGCAUUGUAAAAAAUAGAAUUAUUGGCUGUGCAAGGAAAGAUAAGCGGGGACUGUACGAAGACAAGAUGCAUGGGUGGCUGCCGACAGAGGAAUGGGUGGAGGCCUCGUCGAGGAAGACGAUCCUAGCGCGCGUGACAAUGUAGCGUCCACAAGCACGACCGAGAACAAGGAGGACAUAGACUACGAGCCGACGGAAGUGCACGUGCAGCCAUGCGGCAAGAAAUGUGAAGAGGAAGGGGUUGUCUUGGAUGGGAGGCUAUCUCCUUAAAUUACCCUCACAUGACAUGUACUGCUUCUGCUUGACGAGGAGCGGCCAGGACAACUGAUACUACUGGCGAUAAUCCUCACACAACUGAGCAGUAUAGGUCGAUCACCAUCCUUCGAUUUUGAUAAUAGACGGCACAUUUUCAUUACCGGGUACAGUAAAAAAGCUCUACCCCAAUAAGAUUUUUACCCGCAGGGUACGUCGGUACCAUUAGAGCAACUCCAAUGGGGCAACCCAUUUCGUCCGUAGCCGUCCGUUUGGGUCGGCGCAAACAAAGAAGACGGCCCAACGCGCCGACCCAAAUGGACGCGUGUCCGCUUGGCGUUCGCAUGGGGAUCCAAUCCCGACCCAUUUUUGAGCCGGACUUGCGUCCGCGAGGACACGAGACAGACGCGCGCGCGCGCCUACUCCUCUCCCCGGGCCCGUCGGUCGGUGGCAGCCACCACCAUUUCCCCCCAUUUUACCCAAAAACACCCCCGCACGCGCGCGCUCGCUCCCGCCCCAACCAGCCAUGGACGACGCCAUCGACCUCGACCCCGCCGCCUCCCUCGCCUCCCUCGCCUCGUCCGGCGUCGCCGCCGCCGCCUGGAAAGGCAAGCCUCAUGCCCCGCGCAAGACGGCCGCUGAGGUAGUCCUGGAUUUAGGGGUCCUCGGACAGACGGACUAUAUACAUGGGCCGGACUGUUGGGCUAUGAAGAUACAAGAUAGAAGACUUCGUCCCGUGUCCGGAUGGGACUCUCCUUUGCGUGGAAGGCAAGCUUGGCGAUUCGGAUAUGUAGAUCCCUUUCUCUGUAAUCGACUCUUUAUAACCCUAGCCCCCUCCGGCGUCUAUAUAAACUGGAGGGUUUAGUCCGUAGGACAAGAACAACAAUCAUAAUUAUAGGCUAGCUUUUAGGGUUAGCCAUUACGAUCUCGUGGUAGAUCAACUCUUGUAAUACUCAUAUUCAUCAAGAUCAAUCAAGCGGGAAGUAGGGUAUUACCUACAUAGAGAGGGCCCGAACCAGGGUAAACAUUGUGUCCCCCGCCUCCUGUUACCGCCUUAGACGCACAGUUCGGGACCCCCUAGCCGAGAUCCGCCGGUUUUGACACCGACAUUGGUGCUUUCGUUGAGAGUUCCACUGUGACGUUGAAGAUAGGUGAGGGAGUCCCGGACUAGGGGGUCCGGAUAGCCGAACUAUCAUCAUCGGCCGGACUCCAAGACUAUGAAGAUACAAGAUUGAAGACUUCGUCCCGUGUCCGGAUGAGACUUUCCUUGGCGUGGAAGGCAAGCUUGGCGAUACGGAUAUGUAGAUCUCCUACCAAUGUAACCGACUCUGUGUAACCCUAGCCCUCUCCGGUGUCUAUAUAAAUCGGAUGUCUUUAGUCCAUAGGACGAACAACAAUCAUACCAUAGGCUAGCUUCUAGGGUUUAGCCUCCUUGAUCUCGUGGUAGAUCUACUCUUGUAACCCACAUCAUCAAUAUUAAUCAAGCAGGACGUAGGGUUUUACCUCCAUCAAGAGGGCCCGAACCUGGGUAAAAACAUCGUGUCCCUCGUCUCCUGUUACCAUCCGCCCAGACGCACAGUUCGGGACCCCCUACCCGAGAUCCGCCGGUUUUGACACCGACAUUGGUGCUUUCAUUGAGAGUUCCUCUGUGCCGUCGCGAUCAGGAAGGAUGCCUUCUCCCGUCUUUAAAGACGGCACCGUCGUCAAGAGAGCUUUGGCCGCCGGCCAAAUUGUCCGGCUAGGUGGUUUAAUUAUGACCGCCUGUUCGGCCACCACUCCGACGAUGACCUCUCAGGUCAUCAAAAGCGAUCUUCAUGUCAGCCCAGAAUUCGCCGAGCAGUUAGAUCCGAUUGAGCUCUCUUCUGUAAACGAGCUCUUGGAUCGCAUCGCUGCCCUGGGAGUCGCUACAGACUACGAUCAGAUUGGGCUUAAACCCGGUCUGAGAGAGAUUAACUCUCCUCAGGCCACCCACCACUUUGUCGUGGUAGAGGAACAAUGCGGCAACCCUUCUUCUACGUUGAAAACCAACUAUGUCUGGAUUCCCGAUCCCUCCAAGCCGGAUUCCCGCGAAGGGACGGACGCUAAUCAAAUACUGAACUUAGAGUCAGGCAUCGGACUAGAUUCGUUGAAAAGCAUCCAGCAAGUCAAGCUUCCAAAUCCGGAAACUUCUUGGCCUUUGAGCCUCAGAUCGGGCGGGGUUCCAAACUUGAUUCCACCCGCCCACCCAAACAUAAGCGAUCUAUCUCGAAUACGGCAAGAGCCCGAUGAAAUAGUACAUCAUUACUGGGCCAGAUUCCUCCUGGUUAUGAACAGGAUAAAGGACUGCUGCGAAGAAAGCGCGAUUUCAAUUUUCUGCAACAAUUGCACGGACAAGGGAAUCAUGAACGCCAUAAGUCGUCGCGAAGUUACACGCUUCAUCGACCUAGCGACUAUCGUACAAAAAUACUGUGCGGUAGAGAGUGCCAGGAACACCGAAACUAGGUUUUGGGACAGUCCGGCCUUGACCACAACCCUAGUCCGAAGUAAAAGGAUGCGCCAUACUCAAGCACCUAGGUUAAAAACCAAAAAGCAAAGACCCCCUAAAGGGCAUGGAACCGUACUGGAGGGCUGGCUCAACGGACCCUGCAAAAUCCACAGUACGGAGGGCGCCACUCCAACACACAGCCUUCGAGCAUGUUGGAUACUACGACAGGUGGCCAAAAGUGGCGAAGGCUUUUUAGCCCCGGGCAAAUAGCCCAGCAGUACCGGUACGGUAUUAACAGUCUUCGAGACUUUCGCAUCAAAUAACAUGCGAAAACGAACAAUCCGCGGCCUCGCCGAAGUCUACCAAGUAGCAACAGCAAAUCCAUGGAGUGACACGGCUAUCACCUUCAACGCCAGCGACGGACCUAAAUUCCGAACAGCUAGAGCACCAGCCGCAUUGGUCCUCAGUCCGAUAGUGGACGGCUUUCGCCUUACCAAGGUACUCAUGGAUGGUGGCAACGGAUUAAACCUCAUCUACGAGGAAACCCUUCAAAAAAUGGAUAUUGACUGGAGCCGCAUCGAGCGAAGCAGCACAACCUUCAGAGGGAUAAUCCCUAGUCGAGAAGUACGCUGCACAGGAAAAAUCACACUAGAUGUAGUGUUCGGCUCACCGGACAAUUAUAGGUUCGAGGAGGUCACGUUCCAAGUGGCCCCAUUCGGCAGCGGAUAUCACGCUUUGUUAGGGCGAGAAGCAUUCACAAUCUUCCAAGCUAUACCCCACUACGGGUACAUGAAGCUCAAAAUGCCCGGACCCAAUGGGAUAAUCACUCUUGCCAGUGAUCCAGAUACAACACUCCGCGCUGAAAAUAAGACAGCCGCACUGGCCCUAGAGGCAUUGUCCAAAGCCCUAGCGGCAGAGGAACUAACUCCGCUGCGCUCCACGAUAGAUAGGGACGAUGUGAUACUCGAUAAGAGGUCCAAGUCCACCUCUUUUAAACCAACAGACAAAAUAGUCAAAUUUCAGGUCCAUCCAACGGACCCCACAAAGACGGCCUCCAUUGGGGCACAAUUAAGUCCUGAUGUCGAAGCCGCACUAUGAGAAUUCCUUCGGGAAAAUUGGGACAUUUUUGCCUGGCACCCUUCAGACAUGCCAGGAAUCCCACGCAGGCUGGCAGAGCACAGCCUAAACAUCCUAAAAGGAUUCAAGUCGGUCAAACGAGCUCUUCGGCGAUUCUCCGAACCCAAAAGACAGGCAAUGGGAGAAGAGCUAGCCAAACUCUUAGAAGCCAGAUUCAUCAGAGAUAUAAAACAUCCGGACUGGCUAGCCAAUCUAGUAAUGGUACCAAAAAGGACAAAUUCUGGCGCCUCUGCGUCGAUUUUAAAGACCUUAACAAGGCCUGUCCAAAGGACCCUUUCCCCCUCCCUCGCAUCGACCAAAUCAUCCAUGCUACCGCAGGGCACGAUUCAUUGUGCUUCCUCGACGCAUACUCCGGAUACCAUCAAAUCAAGAUGGUGGAGAAAGACCAGGCCGCAACGGCAUUCAUUACUCCAUAUGGGCCAUUCUGCUUCAACACAAUGCCCUUCGGACUCAAAAACACCGGCGCAACAUAUCAGCGCAUGGUUCAAACAUGUCUGGCUACCCAGAUAGGCAAAACAGUAGAGGCAUACGUAGACGAUGUGGUCGUCAAGACCAAACACGUCGAAACUCUAGUAGAAGACUUGAGGGUGACAUUCGACAACCUCCGAGCAUAUGACAUUAAGCUCAAUCCGGAAAAAUGCGUCUUCGGCGUACCAGCCGGAAAGCUCUUGGGCUCCAUCGUAUCCGGUAGAGGAAUUGAAGCAAACCCGGCCAAAAUCCGAGCUCUGUCACAAUUGGAUAUUCCAAAAGACCUCAAGCAAAUACAAAAACUAACCGGAUGCGUAGCGGCCUUAAGUCGCAUCAUCUCCCGUUUGGGAGAAAAGGCUCUGCCCCUCUACUGCCUCCUCCGGCGCACCAAACAUUUCGAAUGGACGGAUGCUGCCACAGCCAGACUCGAAGAAAUAAAGGCCAUACUAGCAACAAAUCCGGUCCUGGCCGCGCCCAACCUGGGCGAACCUAUGUUAUUAUAUAUCGCAGCAACACAUCAAGUUGUCAGCGCGGUGCUCGUCGUCGAGCGAGAGACAGAAGGGCACAGAUUCCCUCUUCAAAAACCAGUGUACUACGUAUCCACUGUUCUAACUCCAUGCAAGUCCCGGUACCCACAUUAUCAAAAGAUAGCAUAUGCGGUGUUCAUGGCAUCCCGGAAGCUGCGACACUACUUUCAAGAGUGUUCCAUAACGGUGGCCUCCGAAGUACCUCUCAACGAUAUUAUAAACAAUCGCGACGGAACGGGCAGGAUUGCAAAAUGGGCUAUUGAGCUCUUACCAUUUGACAUAACCUAUAAACCACAGCGAGCUAUAAAGUCGCAGGUUCUGGCCGACUUCGUCGCCGAAUGGACCGAAGCCGAACUCCCUAAAGAGUACGGCGCAUACUCCAAUUGGAUCAUGCAUUUCGACGGAUCCAAAAUGUUGGCUGGCUUGGGGGCUGGCGUCGUCCUGACGUCCCCAACUGGAGACACAAUCCAAUACGUACUUCAAAUAAUGUACAUGGACUCCAAUAACGCAGCCGAAUACGAGGCCCUUCUACAUGGCCUCCGGAUGGCAAUCUUCAUGGGCAUUCAAUGCCUAGAGGUGCGCGGGGAUUCAAACCUUGCAAUAUCCCAAGUAAAUGGAGACUUUGAUGCCAAAGAUCCAAAAAUGGCAGCUUAUCGCAACGCCAUCCUAAAAAUGUCAGCUCGGUUCGAAGGACUCGAAUUCCACCAUGUAGCCCGGGAUAAUAACCAGGCAGCAGACGUGUUAGCAUGCAUCAGCGUGAAACGAGACGCCGUCCCUCCAAACAUCUUCCUGGAACGGCUCUUCAAGCCAUCCGUGUUAUGGGAAGAGGAGUCCGGAAAUAACAAUCCGGAGCCAGCUGCAUCACCGAACUCAGACCAUUCUGACACAAUCGACGGCUCAGCCAACGAAAUAACACCAUCAGCUCACGAAAUAAUGGCAGUAAUUGCCCCAUGGACAGAACCAUUCCUAGCCUACUUAAUUCGGCAGGAACUUCCCGAAGACCAAAAUGAGGCCUGCUACAUAGUUCAGCGAUCUAAAGCCUACAAGGUCCAUGAGGGAGAACUUUAUAAGAAAAGCACAACCGGAGUCCUUCAAAGGUGUAUCUCCGAAGAAGACGGGCGGGAUCUCCUGGCUGAAAUUCAUGCCGGACUCGGCGGGCACCACGCUGCAGCCCGGGCACUCGUAGGCAAGGCCUUCCGUACAGGAUUUUAUUGGCCGACAGCCCGGGCAGAUGCUCAGGACUUAGUCCAACGAUGCGUCGGUUGCCAGCUCUUUGCUAAUCAGAGCCACAUGCCACCCACCGCCCUCAAAACUAUACCCAUUACCUGGCCGUUCGCGGUCUGGGGGCUUCACAUGGUUGGACCCUUUAAAGGGGGAACCCACAAGCACAAAUACUUAUCGGUCAUGGUGGACAAAUUCACCAAAUGGAUUGAGGCCAAGCCGGUUAAAACGGCAGAAUCCGGACCGGUGAUAGACUUCCUAUCCGGGGUAGUACACCGUUUUGGCGUUCCCCACAGCAUCAUCACUGAUAACGGCACGAACUUCACUGCCGACGAGGUUAAACUCUGGUGCAAAAAUAUGGGCAUCAAGCUCGAUUACGCUUCAGUCUAUCACCCCCAAACUAACGGUCAGGUCGAGCGGGCAAAUGGUCUAAUCAUGAGCGGCAUCAAACCCAGACUAGUGCGGUCCCUCAAGGAAUCUAACACGCACUGGUAGAGGAGCUCGACUCCAUACUCUGGGGGCUGCGGACCACGCCAAACCGAACUACUGGAUUCACACCAUUUUUCAUGGUGUACGGCGCAGAGGCAGUUCUGCCUUGCGAUAUAAUUCAUGACUCACCUCGUGUGCGCAUGUACGAAGAAAGAGAAGUCGAGUUGGAUCGGCAGGACAGUUUGGAUGCCUUAGAGGAGGAGCGGGACGUGGCAAAGGCUCGUUCCGCAUUCUAUCAGCAGCAGGCUCGAAGAUAUCAAAGCAGAGAAGUACGGGCCAAAACUUAUAAUGUCGGCGAACUCGUUCUACGCCUGCCGGACAAGAAAAAGGACAAACUUAAGCCCAAGUGGGAAGGUCCCUUCAUCAUCGAUCAAGUCCUGACCGGCGGAGCAUACCGUCUACGUAAAGCAUCUGAUAACCGACUCGAGCCGAACCCAUGGAACGCAGCCCGUCUCCGAAGAUUCUACGCCUAAACACUGGACUCAGAGUUCGUCUCACUCCCCCGUCCACCUUUUUAUAUUUUUUACUGUCUCUUGUCCCCCUCCUUCUUCCCACUUUUUUUUAAAUACCUUUUAUAGGCUGAUUUGCGCUUUGUUCGCACACACUUGAUGUGCUCCUAGCACUCAUUAUACCUGGGGACUUCUUUACCAGAAGCUUAUUAAUAUGGGCUUCACGCCCAACACAUGUGUCAUACUUCUGCAUGCACCUUUUAUUCACCAUUAUAUGCAUCGAUAUGACUUAAGUUUUGGCCAAGCUGGGUUGCCUGGCUCCUGUGCUUACCCCUACGUUCCCGAUUGUUCGGCUAGGAGGUAAAGGGAGCACCUCUGCGAUUGUUACUGCCGGGUCAGCCGAAUGUGUACCUCAGACUGGGUGAAGCCGAAAGCUAGCGUUCUUAAGAGAAUAUUCGGUCGGUGACACUACAAGGAUCUGGGUCUAUUGCAACAAAAUCGUUCGUUGCAAUACAUAACGAUUUGUGGUGAUAAGUACCUAUUGCCACAAAACGACUUUCGUUGGCAGCCGUUGCGACUAGACACAUGGUAAUAGGUUGUUGCCACAAAAAAGAAAAUGUGGCAAUAAAGUGCGCUAUUGCAACAACCAUGUGGGAAAGCCGCCGCAUGGUUUUCCGCGGCAACACUCACCUGAUGCCACAAUUUGGUUUGUGGAGAUAGCUUUAAUGCAACAUGUAACUAAUCGUGGCGACUAAUAGCUCGUGGCGAUAGACAUUUGUGGCAACAAUCUAUUCCAACGACGCUUGUUUCGUAGCGCAUACUCUUCCGUGGCAAUAGUCAAUUGUGGCAACAAUCUAUGGCAACAAUCCUUGUUUUCGUGGUAGCAGGCAUUUUGCCACGAACCGCUACACUUGUGGCGCUAACUUAUGGCAACAAAUAUUUCAGUUGUCGAAACAAGAAAUUGCAACACAAUCGUUUUGAUGUGAUAAAUAGGUAUCACAACGAGUAAACUAUUCAUGGCAAAAAACUAUUGCGACAAUUUAAAAUUUUUGUGACGAUACUCUAUUUCAACAAAACUUAGUUUGGUAGCACCAAAUAGUUAUCACAACGGUCAAAAUGCUUGUAGCGAGAAGCUACUGUAACAAUGCCAACUUUUCGUGGCGAUACUCUAUUUCAACCAAAAGUUGGUUGUGGUAAUAGCCCAUUGCAACCGUAAAAAAAUACAGGCAUUCAAUAACAAUAUUCCAAACCAUACAUAUAAUAUGUACAUUCAUAAAUUCAUAAUUCUCAUAGCAAAUAUCCAUCAAAUGAAACUCAGAUGUAAUUUAGCCAUCCUAAUUAAGUGCCAAACUAAAUUGUCCAUGAUCUAGAGUCCAGUCCAGCUAGUUCUUUGAAUCCUGCAAUCAAGAAAACAAAAAAAAUAGUUCUAGUUAAUGAGUCCAAAUAACUUAUGCCGUACAAUUAUUCCAACCCCAUUGUUAACAAAAAUGUCGUCAGACUAACUGAAGUAACACUGUCUCAGCAAGCAUAUGACUGAGCAAUCAGAACAAUUUUACAAGUGCAAAUGUCUAAAGCAUAAGUACUAAAAGCUUCCGAUGUGACUGAAGUUGUGAUUUGAUGUAUAGUUUCAGUUAAGUUCUUGUCCCUAGCUAGCACAUAUUCAUUUUUUGAAGUUGUCCCUUGAUGCAGCAACAACACAUGGUGAAAAAGAAGCAGCAACUAGCUAAUUAUGAAGGCCAAUGACGUAUAAAAUGCAGGUGAACAUGAAGAGAAAGCAAGGCUGUGACUUACCAUUGCUUUAAACAUUCGAGAAUUCCUCGUUGCAACUUGUAUGAGAGCAUUUGAAGAAAUAACAGUUGUCCUUGCAACUGGGGUCUUAUUAGGAGUAGAUCUAUGUAAAAGAGUAUUUUGCAAGUUUGGAUACUAUUUUCUUUGUUAAUCCUCUUCGUUAGCACCUGAAAAUAGAAGUGCACUUUUAGCAAUGCAAUUAAGCAACAUAAAUCUUACAAGGUCGCAAGCAUAUGAAUGUAAUCAUCUGUUGGGUUCCCAUCUGUUGGCUCAAUUUUGUAAACUUUGCCAUCAUGUUUUUUUUUUCAAAUUCUAGUCUUGAUCUUCGCUCCUCUUCUCUGGUUUCCAAGUCUCUCUGCAAAUAGUAUAACAAUGAGAUGCUUGACACAUGGAAGUACAGUUAGCAUCGAAGCAUGCAUAUUUAGUUAGACUCGUACCUUCUCAAAAACUUAUUUGUGAGUAUGAUUUACUCGAGUUCCUGUAUAAGGAUUAAUGGUUUUGAUGAUUAAGCAAUCAAGGAUUUUAUGCAUAAUAGCAAAUGUUAGAGAUAGCUUAAAUGUCAUAAUUGUUUUACCAGAUCUGUGUUGUCCACGUUGGUUUUUGUAAGCUGUUAUACUUUCCAUCCUUGUUUUUUUUUGGCAAAUACUUUCCAUCCUUGUUACGGAGCAAAUCCUUUCUUUACUGAACACAAAAACAAUUAAGGGACUUAGCAUUAUCAAUAUGCACCAUUCAGAUAAGUCAUUAAGAAUUAAGGAUGUUGUGUACCUUGCAGAAAGGAGUAAUGUGCAUCAUCUCUUUCCUCUGAAGCGUGCACAUUACCUGACGCGUCCCUAGCUAUCGAAGUGAACAUAAAUAUUAUUAUCAAGUUGCCGUGUAUUGUACUCGGUCUGCUAUUAGCAGGAUCUUGCGUUGAAUUCAUCACCGUGCCCUUCUAUAAGUAAUAUCAUAAUUUCAGUCAAUUUCAGAAGAAAUGGGGUACUUAAAGCAGGCAUAAAAAAGUGACCAGAAAAAUAUCUAUUCAAGUCUAUACUGAAGCUGUUGUAAGCAAAAAUAAGCUAGGCUUUAGAGAUUAAAUGAAAUCAAAUGUAGCCUGAAUGUGGUAAGCAAACUACCAAGGUCAAAUACGCUGAAUGUGGCAGUAUGGUUCAGUAUAGGACAGUGGUUCCGAUAUUAACUUGGUAAUAUUUUACAUAGUCAAAAAGAAAACUUGGGACUAUUUACACAAAACGUGGGACACUCCAAAAUACAAAAAUACAGGAGUUGUGGUCGUGGUCGCAGCCGCCAUGGCCAGGGACGAAGCUAGACAAAAACUACUAUAGUGUCAGCCUUCAUUGCAAAGGGGUCAGCAUACGUAUAUGGACAGUAAUUAACACAAAUUUAUGAAGAAAUUGCAAGAUAUGACUUGUGUCAGUUGACACCAGUCCCUGGCCAUGGCAUACACCCACAUAGGGCAACUUGACAGGGAAACAUCAAUACAUUCGUACGAAAUAACACUAUUUAGUGCAGCCGAUGAUGUUUGUCUACUUCUCUCAGUCAUAGAAAGACACAAACUACUGCAGUACAUGUACAGCCGAGGAUCACUAGCCAGUGUACAGAAAGAAACGAGAUUCAGUAAACGCAACGUUUCAGUUACAGAAAGACACAAGAUUCAGUAAACUCAACGUUUCAGUUACAGAAAGAAACAAACUACCAGUGUAUGUGCAGCACAAGCAAGACAUCUUCAGUAUCCUGGUAAGUUAAUUUUAUAAAUAGCAUUCUUUCCUGUUCCAUGAAUGCUAUUGAACAUUACCCAUGGAAUAUUACUAUUGGACAAUACCCAUGGAAGAGUACAGCAACAAGCCAACAACACUAGUAGAAAUUCAACUUCAAGCCAAGUAUAUCUAUAUAUCUACAAGCGUAGCAGUAAUUGUAAAGCAUCAAGCAAGUAUGUUGGUGAGGAUCUUGGAUCCUUUCACUUGUAGUUGCAGUGACAUCUUCAGAUCUUAGGUUCUUGCAGGAGAGGAAAGGGAGCUGUGAGGAUGCAGACCAUGCGGAAAUGGACGGCGACGAAACGAUAACUUCGAUGGCAAGGGAAGCGACGGAGGAACAUCCUCUUCAAUGCGUGAGGGAGUGGCUAUGGUCGCCGUGGACGGCAUUGACAGUGAGGAGUGCUGCACGGCGGUUGCAUCCUGGGAGUUGUUGUAGUAGGAAGGCCAGGCAGGCAAUUGCAUCCCGGCGGCUAUGCCAGAGGCGAGGGUGAGGAGUGUUGCACGGCGGCCGUCCGCGUGGUUGUUCUACGAUGGAAAGGGGGCGCUGCUAUGGCCAUACCACCCACCGCCUCCGCUGCCCCUCCCCCUCGUCUCCCCAUGACCGCCCCCACCCCCACCGCCUCCGCCUCCGCCUCCGCCUCCUCCUGACCGUCGCCACCACCACCAAUUUCUGCAGCCCCGCGCGCAUCCGCUUCGUCUCUCGCCCCGCCCCUUCCCAACGGAACCCCCUCCCGGCCUCCUCCUCGUCCUCCUUCGAGAGCGCCCCCGAUGUCGCCGGCGAGGACACUGGACACCUACGAACGGAAGGAUCUAAUGACCGCAGGGGGCAGGGAGGUGGAAGAGGGCCAGGACGAGCAGUGCGCGUUCGAGAUGGAGGUGCGGAAACUGUCGGGGAAGAACCGAAGAAGAACCGGCGGCUGGUGCGCGCGCGGGUGCGGGUCGGCGCUCCGCUCGACGUCGUCUGGGCCAUGCUCACCAACCACGAGGGCCUCGGCGGCUUCAUCCCCGGCCUCUCCUAGUGCCGCCGAGGACGCAGCCUUCGCCCGACUCUAGGCGCUGCGCUGCACGGAGGAGAUUUGGGAGAAAGGAAUAACCUGAGGCAGUGUAUGUUCGAUGGACUCCGGUGUGGUCUGCAGUGUCGACGCCGUCAUGACGCCGUGAGGACGGAGGAACCAGGACGAGAGAGCUCAGAUCCGAUCUACGAUUUGGUGAAGAGAAAUAAUCAGGAAAAUCUGUGAGGGGUGUUUAACGGGGAGGUUAAGAAUUGUGGCGGUAGAGACGACCAAAUUAUUUGGUGGAAAAUUAAAAAAAUGGAGGGAGACUGAAGGCUUUAGCGGGAAGGUUAAAAAUUACUUCCCUAAAGCAGAGUACACGUUUAAUUAUUUGUUUGGAAAGUAGUGUUUUAAGGAAACAUUUAGAAUAAUGAAAUAAAUUGGAAAAAAAAUCAAAUCAAUAUGGAAUAUAUCUGCUGCUGAAAAUAAUAUUACUAAAAUUUGUUUGUAAAUUUUUUUUCGCUGACUGGCCGAGAUAGAUGUUCGCGUCGUUGCGAAUCGUACAUGAUGGCGUGCUGGCGGGGAGAGUAUGUAGUCGACACAGGAACAACAGCCGAGACGGCGAGGGUAAUGGAGAUGGUGUGUGCUGCACUCAUUGGUAGAAAUCGUAUGUCACCCUCGCUUUACUCUUGCCUUGAACAUGAGUAGAUAUGGGGUGAUGAGACGGUCGAUCUAUGCCGGUCCCGAUCUAACAGUUCGAUCUUGUGAUGGGGUGGUAGGACGGGAGAUGGCAAAGAACACGAAGGACGUGAUGGAAAAUGCGCAUGCACACACAUGCAAUAAACCCCCAAUGGAUCGACUGCUUUCUUCUUACCGGUCGAUCCGCAGAUCCAAUAGAAUCGAAUCCGAAGAAGACCCAGCUACGCAUGGAAAUACCUACACCAAGAACAUUAUAAAUCAUCUCCAUCGAAGUCUUGUGGUUUCCACACGUAUUGGGGGGGGAUAGAGCCAGAACUCAUCUAUCUCCUCAUCAUCGUCUCUGUCCCAGAUCAACAAGUAGUUUAUACACAUAUAUAGGGAAUCAUCAUGUUAAUCAUACAACCAAAAAUCAAAUGCCAUCACAUAUAUUCGGCAUUUUCCAACUACCAAACCCUAGCUAACCGUAACAGGCGAUCCCAGGCUACCAACUCACCGGGGCUUACAGUGCAAACUCAAUCCAAUAUAAUCCAAUCCAAGGAAGAUCCGACGACCACGUCGAACUAGAAUCUCACAGGGAAAGAUUGAUACUAGAAUCACAUGGGAGAAAGUGUAGAUGUCGGCAUACUAGAACCUUGCAUGGAAAUUCCAAUACCAAGAACAUAUAUAGAUCAUCUCCAUCGGAGGUCUUGUGGUUUCCACACAUAUCGGGGGAAUAAAAUCAAAUGACACUACAUAUAUUCGGUAUUUUACAACUAGAAAACCCUAGCUAAUUGUAACCGGAGCUCCCAAGGUACCAACUCAUCGGGGCUUCUAGUGCGAGGACGAUGCCGACCCAAUAUAAUCCUAUCGGAGAUCCGUUUUUGAGAAAGAGGGCAUGUACGUCUAGUUUGUCUACAUAAACCAUGUCUGAAGUGAAGUUGUGCACUCAUCAGAAGGUCCUGAUAGAGAAUACACUUUCUGAUAUCCUUGUUUGUAGAUUCAAUGUUUGAACUCCGAAACUCCAAUCUGCCAAGUUUGAACAGGCAAGUCUCUCGUAACGUUGGAAUUUCACUUUCAGUUCUGCAAAUAAUUUGGAAAAUGGUCAAAACUCUGUUGACCCGGAACUCUGUCGCCUGGGCUCUGAAUACUAGGUUGAAUAUAGUAGCACUCUACAUUAGCCCAUCAUCAAAGAUAGCCCUACUUCUCUUCACCUUCUUUCCAGUUCGACCACGCGUCUACCGCCUUCCAUUGCAAUCUCGCCCAAUCGUUAGGUCUGCUCCUCUGCCUCUCGAUUGGGGGAUCCCAUAUGGCGCACAGGUCGCCCGCAAGCGACCUGGCAUGCACCCCCCCCUCGUGCGUUGGGCUGUCGUACUGGGCGGCCCAUUUUCCACGUAAAACAAAGUUUAACGAUUCAAGAAAUCUUCAUUGAAUUCAAUUUUUUGUUCACCUAUUUCAAAAAUUUUCUUCAAAAUUCUAAAUUUGGCCAUUGAACUAAAAAUAUGUUCAUAAAAUACGAAUUUUGUUCAUAGUUUUCAAAAAUUGUUCAUUGAAUUUAAAUUUGUUCAUCCAUUUUUUCAAAAAGGAAAUAUUGAACAAAUUUUGUUCAUCAAGUUCAUAAAAGGUUACUCGAACUCAAACGUGUUCAUCAAAUACAAAAAUUAUUCAUCAUUAUUAAAAAUGCUCAUAAAAAAUUGUUCUUCAAAAUAACAAUGUUCAAUUAAAUUGAAAAAAUGUUUAUUCUUUUGAAAUCAUGAACAGUUUUUUAAUUUAAUAACGUUUUUUGAAAAUUCAUUUUUUUGAAAAUUUAGAAUCUUUUUGCAAUCGCAAAUUAUUUUAACAUAGAAUAAAACAAAAACAGAAAAUAUAAAGGAAAAGUAAAAACGAACAAAAAACAUAGGGCCGGUGCAACAGGGCGCGCGGGGUGGAGCUAUAGGCUGGGUUAUUUACUAGGAGGAUGGCCCGAGAAAAAAAGCCCAGGAACAGCCUACUGCCUAGACUGCUCGCCGGUGCCUCUCGACGCCAGCUGAUUGCCCUGAUCCCCUCUGCUCUACGCGUUCGAUCCGCCGCCAGCACCUGCCUCAGUGCCUCGCCCAGUCAUUUUCGCCGCCUCGCCGGCCCCUCCCGUCAGUCCCUGCCGGGCUGCCGACUGCAACGCCUUCGGCAGUACGGCACCACCGCGAAGCAGCGCCGGCGUCGGCGUGCCCAGCCACCCCUGCCAGCGCAAGGAGACCGCGCUUGACCUGACCAAGUUCGUCGACAAGGGCGUCCACGUAAAGCUCACCGGCGGCCGUCAAGGUUACUUCGUAAAGACGAAAACCCUUUUCUUUCGUGCUAAGCUCUGCACCAUCAGAUCCCCCCGUAGUUGUUUGUGUUAGCCACUUAGCCUGCUAACUGCCUCUCUGUCAUUGUCACAAGUGCGCUAUUUGGUGUAGGGUAAUCCUUACAGACUUGCUACAAAUGUUAUUGGCGCGAGUACGCGACUUGUUAGUUUGGUUUUUGUCUGAUUUAGUUGCUUCGUCUUGUGUUUCUUUAGUAUUGACGUGCUGUUGUCUUUUCAGAAGCAAGCAGAUUAAAAUUGCCACGUUAAAUUGUAACUGCUUGGUUGUCUUUUGAGAUUGAUCCUAAAACUUUAUUAGAAAAUGUUCAAUGUAUAUAUAACAAAUUUGUUCAUAUAUUAUACAAUAGUCUUCAGUGUGUAUUUAUAAAAUAAUUUUUGGUGUGUAUUUUCAACAAAUGUGACAUAAUAAAAAGUUCAGUAUAAAUUAAAAAUAUGUCGACAAUAUUGAAAAAAACAUAUACCGUUUAUUACAAAACAUAUAGUAUAAAAAAGAAGUGUGCAUAAAAAAAAUGGAAAACCCGAAGAAUACCCAAGAUCUGAAAAAAGAUAAAAGAAAUAUAAGAAUGAUUUUACACAAUAAUUUUUUAAUACACGUUUAACCUUAUUUGGAAUACACAUUGUCAAUUUUCUGAAUGCAUGAUGAACAUUUAAAAACAAAUACAUGUUCAACAUUUUCCAAAAGCGUUCUCAACAUUUUUAAAAUUUGCCAGAAAAUAAAUAUGCAUCAAAAUUUCCAAUUUUUUAGUAGAAGCAGAUAAAUAUAUUACUUACUGUACAUGGCAACAAAGAUAUCUGCAGGUAAAUAUACUACUUCAUACAGGUGGCCCAACACGCUUUAGGUCGCGGGUAUGAUAGCUCUGUGAAUCACGUAUUUUUUGUUCCAGAAUGUAGAUUAAUCUUCAGUUUGAAGAAAAACCAAAAUUACUGUCCUGGAGGGAGUACUUAUAUGAGAUAGAAAUAUGUGUGCCUCAACUUUUAUAUAUACAAAUAUGAGUUAGAAAUAUGCGCGAGCUCCUGUGUUCGAAUCACUUAGGCGCCAUUUUUGUGUGUCUAAAAAGAUAAAAGAAACUCAAAAACAUAUUAAAAACGAAACAGUCGUCCAUAAAAGAAACAGGGUAUAAGUUAGAGCAUAAAAACAAGAAAGCCUCAACUUUAUCACAUGCAAUUGUGUGGAGUAGUGGUCAACGAGCUUCUACCGCAUUCUGCGCGUCCAAGUUUCGAAUCCUGGCGGGCGAGCGUGUCUUUUAAUUUUUGGUGCCGGAUUUUUAGUUUUCCCUGCAAAUGAGGCCAUUUGUGUCACUAAAUGUAAACCAAGCAAAAGAACAUGCCACAUCAGUAAAUGUAAGCCAAGCAAAAGAACAUGCCACAUCAGCCCUUGACAGGGGAUCCUGCUGGUCAGUUUCCGUCAAUACGUGUUUAUAUGUGGUACCAAUCCGCUUGCACUACACCAAUCGUGGUACUUAUAUGUAACUAAACCACGCGCUUUAGAUCAUUUUGUAACAGCUUGACCUAAAUAUGGUACUGAUAUGCAAAAUUUUGAAUAGUGAUACUAAUUCGUUACAACUGUCUCAAGUGUUGUAUCUCGAUGAAAUUAACUCGGGGAUGUGGAUUGGGUGAGGAUGGAGGCCAACCAAAAGUGGCAGAGGACUAGGAACCUAGUGAUCUGCUACUGAAGCCGCAUGGAGAUGAGAAGAAGUUGUCCCGUUCAUCUAGGUGGUUCUCUAUUUUUUUACAGAGUAGGUCGUUAUCUCUAGCUAUGUAUUGUGGUCAGAUGGCAACCAAUCAUGGACUGAUGGGCUGCAGGCCAUGAUAGGAUUAGGGCUACUAAAAAGAAUGCAAUUUUGCUAGUGGGCCACAUGCCAGAAGGCCCCAGUGAAGGUCCGUCGUUAACUAUAUGAAUAUCGUUGCCAAUAUCUUGUUCUUUUUCAUAACAAUAGGGGAUUUUUGCAAUAUGCUCUACAUAUUACCAUGGAUACGCAAUUUGUUGCAAUAAACAAUAGUUAUUGCAACGCAAUGAAAUUGAGGCGAUAAAUAUAUACUAUUGUGACCAAUACAUAUUUUGUUGCAAUAUUUAGCCAAUUUUUGCAACAAUAUUUAUAACUAAUGCAACAUCAUACGGAUGUUGCAACAUCUUUCCAAAUAUUACCACGAAUAGUUAUUCUGUUGAAAUACCUAGUCUCUAUUGCAACAAACUAACUGGCUCACGCAAUGAAAUUUGUUUGUCGCAAUAUUGCUAGGUUAUUGCAAUGACACUAUAGUUUGUUGGAAUACAUAGCCUCUAUUGCAACAAAAUGAGUAUUUAUCACGAUAAAACUUUGUUGUGGCAGUACGUUGUUCCUAUCACCACAACCCAGGAAUUUGUGGUAAUAUUGUGUUCUAUUGCAACGAAACACAAUUGUGGCAAUAAAUUUUAUUGCAAUAGACCGGAAUCCUUGUAGUGUGACUUGAAAUAUGAUUUAUUACUUACUUAUUUAUAAGCCCCCAGAUGCUUUUUCUGCUAUUUUCGCAGUCCGGCAUUGCACCUUAGGGCAUGCCUCCUAGGGAAAGGAACCCUUAACGGAACUAUUCUCCCUGGAAGAUGUUUCUUACUAACCAUGUAAUAUAACAUAACUAGUUGGGCACUUGUCUAAUAAAGCAAUUAUGACCCUGACGCCUUGUCUCCAUGCAUGCCCCGGUUCUUUUAUAACCGUAGGGGUAUUCGGACACACUUCGGACUGUUGGGUCCCGAGGUUGAAGCGAAACGGUCUGCAAAGACAAAGAUCUACAAUCCGGCUAGAAGGCAUCUUACAUGUCAUUUCAAAUUACAUCAUCAAACCGACUGAUUGUACUCCUCCUCAAUCCCAUCUAACAGGCUGUCUAAUUUACAGUCCUGUUGGGAAUAUUUCGCGGCCAGUUCUAUUUGGCCAUACAUCAAGCUCACAGGGAUCUCCUUCCCAUCAGGCCCCGCAGGUCUGACCUCGGCCAUGUGGUUUGGGUCAGCCUUCGGGUAGCGCGUCUUCACCAUGGCCCAGGCCUCCCUGGCGCCCUGACGGCAUGCCGAUAUCUUCCACAAACGGAGGCGUCGCCGUGCUCCCUGGAGCUUCUCAGCAAGCUCACCAAGGCCCUCGGGUAGGGAGACGGAUGGCCAUAAAGCCUGAACGACGCCACUCAUCGCCUGCCGAACACGUUCGAACAAUUGCGCCAGCUCGGGAAGUUGGUCACCUGACCCAGGCAUUUCCUCCGCAGGGCGACCUGUGAGCACACCUAAAGACAUAUUUCUGUCAAACGACUUCCUCGCCGAAUUCUUCUUUUUCAAAGGAAUUUGCUCAAGCACUUACUAUAAAUGCCACGACGAAGUCGCUGAUUCUCCUUCAAGGAGCCAGACAGCUGGGCCCGAACACCUUUCAGCUCUUCUCCUAGCUGGGUGUGGGCAUCUUGGAGCUUGUUUCUCUCCUGUUGCACCUUCAUAAGCACCCUCUCGCCAGCCUUUAGCUGGCGCAGUAGCUGUUGCUUGUCCGGAUCUAGUCCGGCGCCCUCUGCAAUAUUAUUGUCAGAUUCACGCCGCACUUUGUUAAUUAAUUAUCUUUUCAAAGUACGUCUUACCAGCGGGGGUUUCUGUGGCUCCCCCUGUGGCGGCCAGUGCGGCCUCAAGUUGGGCCUUGCACUCUUGGAGCUCCUGGGACAGAUGGGUAUUCUUCUCCGUAAGAUCCUGCAUAAAAAUUGAUCCUUAAAUCAGUUGUUCUAACCAUUUUAAGUCUCGGGGGCUACUGGCAUAUAUAACUAUUAAAAUUACUUACGCGUAUGUCUUUCACAUACUGCUCCGUGGCUCUGGUUAACCCAUCUUGAGCGGCACGGAGGUGCGCGUUUCCCGCAUCAAAGGCAUUUAACGCCUCCGGGGAGAAACACGCGUCACAAAGAACUGUCCGGCGACGCCUGUGAUUCAUGGCGCUCUCCACCUCAGACCGGGUGGCGGACAGCCUGUCGGCAUCCUCCGUCGGAGGAGCGUCCGACUCAUGCCUUGUAUUCGCCUCCCCUUCCGGGCCAUGCAUUGGAGCAUGGCUGGCGGAGGCUUGAUUGGCAACCUCUCCGGACACUGUCCGGCGAGCGCUCUUUCUGGAAAAGUUAUGAGCAUUAAUAUACCUCCUGGGAAUCCUUCCCUUAAAAAAUAGCGGUGCUCCGUACCGUUGCAGCGACGUUUCAGUUCGCGUCGCACUCCUCUUCCGCCUGCUGGGCCGGACUGACCCUUGUUGGCCGGUCGCCGCGGGCUCGACUUCCUGCCGUAAAGGCGCUUCCUGUCGAACACCAUUGGUGCACGGUGGUCAGAACUAAGCAUUAAAGAAGUAACGGUGCCAGGACUUCGGUCGUACUCACCGGGGAAGCCGGACACAAACCGGGGUAGUCAGCCAUGAUGGCGACUAAAGCAUUAUCUAUGCUGAGCUGGUGGUACACCCCGUCGAUCAGUUCCACCGCUAAGUCUGGAUCCUCUUCGGAGGCCGGAUCAAGGGACCUUUCUGGGUCCUCGGGUUGUGGGGCUGGGCUUUUUAUGCCCUCCACAUCCCGACGCAGUUCGUGUGUCAAAAUCAUACAAUAAGACAAUUGCCUUUAAAGGCACGGUUCAGAUAUGCAUGCGACCGCUUACCCAGCUCCGAGGGUUGUUCAUGGAAAAUCCGUUCAGAGGAUUCGUGCGGAGGAAGUCCUCCUUCUCCCCCUUAUACAAGCCGGACAGGAUCUUCACCAGAUCGUCGGUCGAGCCAGGUCCCUUGCGGCCGUGACGGGUGGCGUCGUCGUCUCUGUUGAAGUCCCACAUGGGGUGGCCCCUAUAUUGGAGCGGCUGCACCCCACGCAUAAUGCAUGUGGCCAUGACUCCAUUCAUGGUUAAUCCGGAAUGGGCUAGCAGCCGUAUCCGGCCCAUCAAGUAAUGGACGCUACUAUCAUAUUCUCGUCGAGGGCUCCGUGGGCGCCAACUUAGGCGUUUCUUCAGGGGAGCGUUGCUGAACUCCGGAAGGCCGAUCCGGACUGGAUCCGGCAGCGGAGCGUCCUCCAUAUAAAACCACUCCGAAGGCCAAUCUUCGGACGUCUUCUUUGGGGUCCCGGACAGGUAUCCGGUCCCGGCGAUGCGCCAUAUUUCGGCUCCGCCCACUUGAUAUAUCGACCCCUCGUGAGAGCGGGGUACGAGGCAAAACGGCCUCUUCCACAGUGCAAAAUGGGGCUCAAUGCCCAAGAACAGCUCACACAGAGCUACGAAGCCCGCGAUGUGCAAAAUGGAGGCAGGUGUAAGGUGAUGAAGCUGGAGUCCGUAGAACUCCAGGAGCCCCCGGAGAAACGGAUGUAUAGGAAAUCUGAGUCCCCUUAUUAAGUAGGAGACGAAGCACACCCGCUCUCCUUUGGAGGGAUUGGGGGCGCUCUCCGCCUGUUUCCCACCUUUGUAGGUGGCCAGUCCGGCUCGAACCGGAACCAUGAAGGCCGGGGGAAGAUACCCCUCUGCUUGGAGCGUCACUAACUCGCUGUGCGGGACUGAGCAUUUCCUCCAAUCUCCUGGCUUAGGGCUGGGAGCGCGAGAAGAGGAGCCGCGUCGACUGUCCAUGUUGGAAUGGGUUCGUUGUCAGAUGCGCCUUGAUGAGUGCUUGCGGAAGGAGGAUGAUGUGAUUUGGAUCUGGAUCCUCGCCUCUCUUAUAGGCAGCUUAUUUGCGCAGCUAGGGGGUAAAACAUAAAAAUACCCUGGCUUUUCGCAUUCAUGCGACGCGUGGAAGAAGACCAUUAUUGGACACGGAAGCCAAGGAGCGCAACAUUUAUGAAGCAACCGGACACUAUCCGGCAAACACAUGGAGCAUGAAGAAGAGCCCGCCUUGCAAACGCCGAAGACAACAUACGCGCCGGAUUCGUCGUUAUUGAAGCCUGGUUCGGGGGCUACUGAGGGAGUCCCGGACUAGGGGGUGUCCGGAUAGCCGAACUAUCAUCAUCGGCCAGACUCCAAGACUAUGAAGAUACAAGAUUGAAGACUUCGUCCCGUGUCCGGAUGGGACUUUCCUUGGCGUGGAGGGCAAGCUUGGCGAUACGGAUAUGUAGAUCUCCUACCAAUGUAACCGACUCUGUGUAACCCUAGCCCUCUCCUGUGUCUAUAUAAACCGGUUGGCUUUAGUCCAUAGGACGAACAACAAUCAUACCAUAGGCUAGCUUCUAGGGUUUAGCCUCCUUGAUCUCGUGGUAGAUCUACUCUUGUAACCCACAUCAUCAAUAUUAAUCAAGCAAGACGUAGGGUUUUACCUCCAUCAAGAGGGCCCGAACCUGGGUAAAAACAUCGUGUCCCUCGUCUCCUGUUACCAUCCGCCCAGACGCACAGUUCGGGACCCCCUACCCGAGAUCCGCCGGUUUUGACACCGACAAUAGGAUUGAUGGCUCACCUUGUUAUCAAGGACAACAUCACCUCUGGAGGAUCCCUGGUAUCAGGCCAACCCUCCGGCUGGGCGGCUUCACCAUGACCGCCCGUUCGGCCGUCGGGCCGACAAUGACUUCUCGGGUCAUUGAAAAUCGCCUCCGCGUCAGCUCAGAAUACUCCGAACAGAUGGAUCCGACAGAGUUGUCGUCCUUAAAUGAACUCCUGGAUCGCAUCGCCGCCUUGAGAGUCGCUACGGGCUAUGAUCGGAUUGGGCUUAAACCCAAUCAGAGAGAAAUUGAAUCUACGCCGAUCACCCAUUAGAUAGCGGUAGUAGAGGAGCAAUGCGACAACUCUUCCACUAUAAUGAGGAUGAACUAUGUCCGGAUUUCUGAGCUUACUGAGCCAGAUACCUGCCUGCGGGAAGACGUGCCCCAUAUUCUGAACCUAGAGUCGGACCGUGGGCCGGAAAAAUUGGUCGAUAUCUCGGAGCCCGAACUGUUAAGCUCGGAAAUUCCUCAAGCUCCGGAUCCCAGAUUGGGCCAGGGUUCGGACUUAAAUCCGCCCACCCACCUAGAUACAAGCGAUCUUACCCACAUCAGACAGCAGUCCCAAGAGACGGUCCAUCACUUUUGGGCCAGAUUCUUCCUUGUCAAGGACAAGAUCAAAGACUGCCGCGAUGAAGACGCAAUCUCAUUAUUCUGCAAAAAUUGCAUGGACGAGGGAAUCCUGAAUGCCAUAAACCACCGCCACGUAUCACACUUCGCUGACUUGGCAACCAUAGUACAGAAGUACUGCGCAAUGGAAAGCACCUGGAAAACUCAAGUAGCCCCUUGGAAGCCACCGGUUUUCACUAAACUCCUCGUCUGGACAAAAAGGGUGCACCCUCAUAGGUCGCCCAAUUCAAUAACAAAAAAAAAA